CUGCUCUCUAGAGUCACACGGACUUCUUAAGAAUUGGAGCCAAGUUGUUUGGGGCAAUCAUUGCUUGGGACCCACAGUCGGCGCAGAGGAGAGAGGCUGUUCCGGCCACCAGCCAACCAUUUUCCCUUCCGGCUUUCAUUCCACGCGACACUCUGGUUCUUGAAGAAGCAGAAACUGGAAAGCUUGCUUUCCUCUGCACCGUCGCUGGGAUGAAGCCCAUGAGGACCAGAGUCUCCUCUGUCUUGGUCAUAGAACAGUACGUGACCAGGAGAAUUGCAUGCAAAGUCACUAAGAGGAACAAACCAGAGGGCAGAGCUGAGGCUGCCUGGGAGGAUCUGCAGAGGAAUGCCAAGAAAAAUGGACAGACUCUACCAAGGACAGCGGCCGGAAGUUAUAGUGUGGGAGGAAUUAUGACCAAAAGAAGGUCUACAAAAUGUACUGUGGUCAGUCAGAAAUAAGAAAUGGGUAGGAAGAGAUAAACACAGGCUGGCUAUGUUGCACAGAUUAUAGGAAUCCCACAAUUAAUUAAUUAAUUUAAUUACUCAUACAUAUACACAUUAAUUCAGUUAUCCAAAAAUAUUAUUGAAUUCUUUCUAGUGGUUAGGAAUUGUCCCCACUCCCUGUUCUAAGAAGUGCCUGCUCUUGAUUAGGGAGAGGACAAUGGGCAACUAAGAGAAUUGCUCAAGAAUUCUGAAUGCUCUCAAUACAGAUGAUAAAUCUUAAAGAGAUGCUCUUCCUGCGACCCCAAGAGGAUCAUUCUACUUUGCACACAGGCACACAAGUGUCACACUGCACCCUAUAAAUAUGUACAACUGUAUGUGUCAAUGGAAGGACGUUUUAAAAAGUGACAGAGAAAACCAAAGCACAAGUCACAGAGACUGUGAUGGGGAAGAGCUUUGCAGCCUUAAGGAUGUGCAGUCAGGAUAGAUCAAGACUUAAAGUGGGUACACGUGCAACUUCCAGCUCAGCAUCUGCAUAAGAAGGCAUCUGGAGCCAAUUCAUCAGUUUAUCAUGAUGGUGAUGAUGAUGAUGAGAUGAUGAUGA
rnacentral:sRNA from 1 species